GGGGAUGUGGCGGAAUUGGCAGACGCAACAGACUCAAAAUCUGUCGAUCGCAGGGUCGUAAGGGUUCGAGUCCCUUCAUCCCCACCA
rnacentral:tRNA from 1 species